rnacentral:rRNA from 1 species
ACGAACGGUGGCGGCGUGGAUAAGACAUGCAAGUCGAACGGAAUCACUCUUGUAGCAAUACGAGGGUGGUUCAGUGGCGCAAGGGCGCGUAACACGUGGGCAACCUGCCCGGGAGCACGGGAUAGCUCGGCGAAAGCCGAAUUAAUACCGUAUGCAGCUAUCGAGGACAUCUUCGAAAUGCCAAAGACGGCGCAAGCUGUCACUCCUGGAUGGGCCCGCGGCCUAUCAGCUAGUUGGUGAGGUAACGGCUUACCAAGGCUAUGACGGGUAGCUGGUCUGAGAGGACGACCAGCCACACUGGAACUGAGACACGGUCCAGACACCUACGGGUGGCAGCAGUCGAGAAUUUUUCUCAAUGGGGGAAACCCUGAAGGAGCGACGCCGCGUGGAGGAUGAAGGUCUUCGGAUUGUAAACUCCUGUCAUUUGGGAACAAAUUGUCCGUUUAACUGGCGGACACUUGAUAGUACCAGAAGAGGAAGAGACGGCUAACUCUGUGCCAGCAGCCGCGGUAAUACAGAGGUCUCAACCGUUGUUCGGAUUUAUUGGGCGUAAAGGGUGCGUAGGCGGUCGCGCAAGUCGGGUGUGAAAUCUCAGGGCUCAACCCUGAAACUGCACUCGAUACUGCGUGACUAGGGUGCUGGAGAGGAGACUGGAAUUUACGGUGUAGCAGUGAAAUGCGUAGAUAUCGUAAGGAAGACCAGUGGCGAAGGCGAGUCUCUGGACAGCUACCGACGCUGAGGCACGAAGGCCAGGGGAGCAAACGGGAUUAGAUACCCCGGUAGUCCUGGCAGUAAACGGUGCACGUUUGGUGUAGGCGGAUUCGACCCCGUCUGUGCCGUAGUUAACACGUUAAACGUGCCGCCUGGGAAGUACGAUCGCAAGAUUAAAACUCAAAGAAAUUGACGGGGGCCCGCACAAGCGGUGGAGUAUGUGGCUUAAUUCGAUGCAACGCGAAGAACCUUACCAGGCCUUGACAUGCGUUGUGUCGGCGGUGAAAGCCGCCUAGUGUAGCAAUACACGCCUUGCACAGGUGCUGCAUGGCUGUCGUCAGCUCGUGUCGUGAGAUGUUGGUUAAGUCCCGCAACGAGCGCAACCCCUGUAUCCUGUUGCUACCGGCGCAAGCCGGGCACUCUGGACAGACUGCCCUGUGAAACGGGGAGGAAGGUGGGAUGACGUCAAGUCAGCAUGGCCCUUACGGCCUGGGCUGCACACGUACUACAAUGUUCAGCACAAUAUGAUACCGAUGCCGCGAGGCGGAGGCAAUCCCUAAAGCUGGACCCAAUUCGGAUCGCAGGCUGCAACUCGCCUGCGUGAAGCCGGAAUCGCUAGUAAUGGCGCAUCAGCUACGGCGCCGUGAAUACGUUCCCGGGCCUUGUACACACCGCCCGUCACAUCAUGGGAGUCGCUUGCACCCGAAGUGCGUUAUUAAUGGACGCCCUACGGUAUGAGCGGUAACUGGGAUG